UAGAGAAACUGUCUGAAAUAUUCCCUUUCUUGCUUACACCUUUUUCAAAUAUAACAACUUCUUUUGGGGUUCUUGGAAAUAAUUUGGGUUUUUUUUUCUUUUUUUUCUUUUCUUUUCUUUUUUUUUUUUUCUUUUUUUCAGAGCUGGGGACUGAACACAGGGCCUUACGGUUUCUAGGCAAGUGCUCUACCACUGAGCUAAAUCCCCAACCCCUAAUUUAGGUUUUUUUUUCCCCCAUAAUUUAUACAGAGUUGACCAUGGGAGGAUGUUGGGGGAGCUGCUGUUUCUUACAAAGUCUCAUAAUUAUUUGCCAGAAGAAAAUAGAAUGUAAUAACAUUGUAAUUUUUAUACUACUUGAAAGAUUUUGCAAGAAUAAUUAAGCAAUGUGAGAAAAAAUAAAUUUGGAAAUUGCUUCAUCUACUAAAUAAAACAACAUCUCCAAGAAGAGAACAACAGCAAUCAAAGUAACCAUGUCAUCUGUGGCAUCUUCAGGAGGAUGUGCAGCAAUCUGAACACGGUUCCAAGAACGUGGUGGGUGUCUAGUGCUUUGUCAGCCUGGCAGGCAGAGGGAGAGGCACUGAAGGCAUGCUAUGAAAUGAUGACCUCUUGAACAGAGCAUGUGAAUCUGAGGACCAUUGGAACAAAAGGAGUCAUUCUGAUGUCCAUUUCAGAUGAGACAUUGGAUUUGAGACACAGGUGCAGAAUCACUAGCUGCCUACAGCUCCUGCUGCCAUGGCUCUCUGCUGUGGUGGACCAUACUCUGCAAUGGCUUUCGCCCGAUUCUCGGUACCAGGUCGGUGCUGGCGCCGACAAAUGGAGGUCCCACCGAGAUCGGAGAAGAAAGGGGGUACCACCUAUGGGACGUCCCUGGAGCCCAGCCGGCAUAGGAGAAGGGACGGAUUGGACGUAAGAUGGGUCAGGAAAGGCCUGGAUGAUUUGGGCUAGACUGAGUAAAACUUGUCAUAAAAAAGGGACAAGGUAACGGUAAAGUGUUUUUGCAUAUGUGUUCUGUUAGAGUUAUAUUUUAGUCUUUGGACCCUAACUAGAGAUAGUUUACACCCUAGACAUGAGGGAGAACGGGUUUGGGAAAAAGUCCUCCCGGACUCCCUGCAGAUGCUUUGGAGAAAGAGAAAAACCUUUUCAGAGCUCUCCUAGGAACAGAGGGAAAGCAGGAGACGUCCUGCCUCUCUGCUGGCUCCUAUUGGAGAAAUGCUUAUUUCUGGUUCUGGGUUCCAUAGGUAGGAUAUGUGGGUCCCCUCGGUGGGACACCAUCUAGUUUUUUCCUUCUAUGUCUAUUGUCUGUCCUUGGUGCACCAAGCUGUCCAUGUCUGUCAGUUUAUGUCUGUGGUUUUUGUUUCUCAUUGUUUAAA